GUAACACCAGCUUCAAGAAGUUAAGUAACUUUCUAAGAUCACAUGGCUGUAAGGGUGGAUAACUGGGUUUGAUUUCAAAUCUUGUGCUUUCCAAUGCUCUGUGCUACCUCCUGGGGACUGGAAAUGAACCCAUUUGUAGAGACCAAAAAACGUGGGAGUUUUGAUAUCUCUGCUCCCAGCAGGUAGGCUGUCUAUAUUGACUAUAUGGAAAGAAAUUAGGAUAGAGUCAGCCUCAAUCUAAAUCUUCUGGAAGGCUCUACCUCUCAUCCCUGGAGUCCUGCUCAGUCACUGUCAUCAUUGUCUCCAUGGAAACUGACCUGCUCUUGGCCAAGGAAAGGUCUGGGCUUUAUAACAUAGGUCAGUAGUACUCAGGGAACAAGGCAGGGACAUUACACAGCUGGGUUGCUGAUUCUUAGCUCUAACAUUUGGUUUAUAAUUACUAGAGGGUUUUUUUUUUUUUAAUGACAAUUCUAGGCUGGUCUGGUUAGUGUUUACCUAUUGCCUCAUUUUAAGAAGGUAUUUGGGCAGUUUGGGGAAUAUAAUAAUAGCAAUCACAGCUAAAUGAUUAAGUGGCUAUAAUGGGAAGAUAAAGGUGGGAUUAAGUCAAUACACAAAAUGCAUACCUCAGAGACUCAGCAUUGAAUACCAUGAAUGUCGACAUAGAAAGAUGCCAGGGAGCCUGUUGAUGAGAUUCCUGGGCUUAACGUGGUACUAGAUGAGGCUCUGACCUGGAUAGUGUACCUGAUAAUGAUAUCCUUAGAACAGGUCUGGUGGUAUGUGGUCUGGAUGUUCAAAUAUGAAGAAUUAGCCAGGUCAUCACUUCUAAAUGGCUCAGCAGGGGAGGAUGUGUUGAAGGAGAGUAACAACUAAGCAAGCCUAGAACAUUGUGGGGCAGUCAUCGGCUGCAUUGUUGUCUCAGGACUCUGGAUUAGAAGCAAACUGUCCUGCUGUCCCAAAGCAUGGCACUGUAGGCAUGAACCAGGGUCCAUGGUCCCUUCCAUAGGGAGGAAGUCUACCCUAGUUCUUAGGAACCCAAAUUAUAAAUGAAGUAAGACAGGUUAAACCUAAUUGAUAGAUGAAUCACUUGGUAAGUUGUUUAAUUGCGUCAUCUCAAAGACAGAGAGGUUUUCUACAUUAAACUUUCAAGUACUGUAUGAACACGUUUAGCAUGAAAACAGUUCUAGUUGCAAUUUUUAACACAAGCUCAUGCUGGAAAGUGUAGAUAUGUUUCCAGACAUCUACUAUCCAAGAGUUUGCUCCAUCAACACUCGCCAGAAAUGAUUAAAUGUUAUUUAAUAAGCAAGAUAUAAGUAAUAAAAAAAAAAGGCUUUUUCAGUCACUCAACUUAAAAAUCUUAACUCUUGGUCUGAUGCAAGAAUAAUGGCACUCAGGCAGCCUAGGUAAGUACAAGAGAAAGGGGUGGAUUAGGGAUGAGUGUGGAGAGGAAGGCAGAGUGGUAGAGGAUCCAUAUAUUCAUCUCCUCCAAUAUCUUGGCAUCCAGGAAGGCAGAUGCACAUGGCAGGUGACACAGUGCAUUUUAUUCAGUCUGAAGACUGUUUCCUUUUGAAGCUUUGUUUUGAGACAGAAAAUAACAAGUGUAACUUCAACCUCUUUCUACUCUGAGUGUUACUGACCCUGGGAUAGCAUUUAAAAAAUAUACCAUACCAAUGCAUUUUAUUCUCCAUAAAUUAUCUUGUCCAAAGGGCAACUCAUCUACCCCAAACAUUAAUUUUUUCAGGGUACACUUAGAACAAAGAGAUCAGUGCUCAUUUUUGAGUUUCAGAACAAUUUGCUUGAAUCUUCAAUGAAAGCUAAGGCUUGUUGAAAGAGAAAAUUGUUAUUUAAAUUCCACUCAUACUUCUAAUCAUGACAAGAGCCAAGACACAGUACACAGAAGAUAAAAUAUAAGGUUUAAGAGGAUGUCCUAUUAAGAAAUGGUAGAAAGCUCUCUUACCAUGGGAAGCAGGAGCUUAGCUAAUGGAAGCAAGAGUCAGAAGGUGAAAGCUAGGGUGAAAAUGCUUGUGGGGUCACUCGGAGGUACCCAGUGACUCCAACACUUGGAAGAAGGUGGGGAAGAGGGAUUAGGACGGAAGCCAAAGGUAAAGAUUGGGGAAACAGGACAUAGGUGUCCCACCACCUGUUCCCUUCUUCCUGUUUGAAUUCUAGGGAGACCGCCUAGCAGAAUGCCCCAGAACGUGAUGAUGUGGCCAUGGGUGAAUAGCAGUGGAUUUGGAAAGGUUAGGGAGAGAGAAUCUGAGCUAGUUCCCACAUGCAGUAUGUAAAAAUCCAUAUCUGAGAACCUCAGCAUCAGGAUUCCUACAAGGAAGUGCAGAAUUAAGAUUUGGGGUCUUAUGUAAACACAAGCAGUGCGAGUUUCAAACAAGUGUUGGCAUCAUAACCUAGAUUCCCUGAACUGACUUCAGAAUAGGUCAAGAGUAAAAAGUCAAUUGGAGUAAAGAGUCAAUAAGUGGUAAUUGUUAUUAUUGUUACUAAUGCAGAAUGGGCAAUGGUUUGCAGGCAGUGGUCGAUUUGGGAAACACCAAUGUGGUUACUCAGCCACAGAAGCCUGAAAACAGGUUAAGAGCAAUUCUGGUUUGGUUGUGCCAUAGGUAUCCUAAGAGGUGGGAGUGUGAGGGAGGACUUGUAUGGGAUAAAGGUAGUGAUGUCUUCAUGAGUGAACCAUGAGAGUAAAUGUGCCUAUAUACCCUGAGACAGUUCAGGCCAGUGUAAACCUAUGGGCCUCAUACACACUGGGUUGGCCCCACUUGUUAUAUUAUGUCGUGCUGGGGGUCAGUGGGGCUGUACCGUAGAAAAGAGGCCAAGAAGAAUGAUAGAUGGAGCUGAUUUUCCUGCAAGAAGGAAUUUGUGGACCAAAAAAGCAAGUUAGAUGGAAUAAGGGUAAAAUUGUCUUUCUUAUUUAUUUAUUUUUUUUGUCUUUUUGCCUUUACUAGGGCCACUCCCGCAGCAUGUGGAGGUUCCCAGUCUAGGGGUCUAUCUGGAGCUGUAGCCGCUGGCCUACACCAGAGCCACAGCUACACGGGAUCCGAGCCGCAUCUGCAAGCUAUACCAUAGCUCACGGCAAUGCCGGAUCCUUAACCCACUGAGCAAGACCAGGGACUGAACCCGCAACCUCAUGGUUCCUAGUCGGAUUCGUUAACCACUGAGCCACCAUGGGAGCUUCUAAAAUUGUCUUUCUAUAUAGUCUUAGAGCAACUGAGGGCAAGACUACAUUGAUUCAGUCCUGUGGUCCCUCUAAGCUCACACAUCACUUGUUAUAUUUAGGCCCUCAAAUUAAUAUCUGUUGAAAGAAUGGUUAUAGAUAAUGGUGAAUGGGCCCCAAAUAAUUGGGUAGGGUGGAGGGUGGCUUGGCAGUCUUAACUGUAGAGGUUUUUAAUACCAUGUAGGGUGGGGCACACCCAGAGGAUUUCAACUGCAAGCCCUCUGUCACCAUGUGAUGCCCCAUGUGAAUUCACAGGUGAUCUUUAAUGUGUUUCUUGGUUGAAGGCUCACUUUUGCAGAGUAAAAAAAUCCCUGCACCUGACCCUCUGCUACUGAUAGGUGUGAUUUUAAAAGAACUUAGAGAUUUUAAAGUCUCAUUGAAAAGACAAGAAGGAAGUCUUUAAAAUGAAAGAUUCAUUCAUUGAAUAUGUGUAUUAUUUGUUUGGUUCAUCUCAGUGCCUGGGAAAUUGUUGGUUCUUAAUAAGUAUUAAUUGAAUGUAAAUCAUUUAAUGGGAGAUUCUGUAGCAGCUGGUGCAUGCCAGACCAUUGUGCCAAGUGCAGACAUACACCCUUCAACAGGGAGCUCAGGGUCUAGUGGAGGAAAGAGGCAAAUACAUAAAUAAUGAUGGUGUGACAUGGUGUCACAGCACAGCAAUAAAUGGGAUUUUUAUGACAGCGGUACUCUUCUUCCAUGUCAGAGACCAUCAAACAUGGCUGAAUGCUACCUACAUGUGUUUUUUAUUUUGUCCUUUUAGUGUGGGCUAAAUCACCAUUAAAUUUUUUCCCCAUCAGUCAUCAUCAUUUAUAAAUAAGUUUAAUUUUCCUGUAAAAACCUGAAUUACUGGCUUUCCUUGAAAAUAUGGCAUCUCUGGCAAUCUUGGGCUCACAUGUGGCAAUGAUUUGCAGGCUGGGUGGUGAAGGCUCCAUGACAGGGCAUGAGGUCCCCAAACCACACUCUACUUGCCCCGCUACACUGAGGCUGAUAUUAGCGGGCCCUCACAGUCAAACCUGCAGUGCUCUUUCCAUGGCAAAGAAUUAAGAGAAGUUGAAAUAUUUUUGGUAUCUAUCCAAACAGAAUAAUGGAAGGCAUACUGAGAGGCCACCAUGUUCCAAGAAGAAAAGGAGAGAGUAAUUUCUUUGUAGCUACAAAACACAUUCCUUGGUAUUUAAGAUGCAAACCAAUUGUCUCUAUGCAAAGUGACAUAAUUUAAGAUAACUUUAUGAAAUAACCACUGAGUGAGGCCAGGGAUCAAACCCGCAUCCUCAUGGAUGUUAGUUGGAUUCGUUUCUGCUGAGCCAUGAUGGUAACUCCCUGAGAGUGUAUUUUGAUUGCCUUUUCUUCACUGUGUUGGUGAAGGAGUGUGUCCUGCCCUGGGAUUAUGGGGAUGGCUGAACUCCUGACCCUCCACCCUGGACAGAUGAGAUUGACAGCUGUUAUUCAUCACGUGUACUCAUAGCUUCAGAGGGGAGGAAAUCAUGUACCACACUGGAAUCAGAUUAAAUAAUCAGGGGCUCUGGGAGGCAGGCUUUGUAGUAACAUGAGGUAGUGGUGACCCCUGGUUUCCAGAAGAGGAUGGGAUUGGCUUGUCUGAGUAAUUCUGUGGGCUGGCAGGGGACUGAAACCUAUUACUCAGGAAUAAGCAGACCCUGUGCCUGGGCCCCAUGAUAAGGUGGGGUGUUUGGCAAGGAAGGAGCACAGCGGGGACUUGCCAUUAGGCCUUUUGAGACCCUUCUGGCUUCAGAUGUCAAGGCAGCACGUCAUACUGAGUCUUAAUUUUAGGUCUUACCCCGUAGGGUCUACACUCAUGAGUUUUCCUGCACCUGGGGAAAUGCAACCUUAAAUAACAAAUGAAAAGUUCUUGACAGAGAGAGAAGGUCAUGUGGAAAGAGAGACAGAGACUCAAGGAGACUGGGGAGAAAUUAAAAAGCUUCAUAUUUUAGUACCUUUCAUGUCACCUUUUUUGCUGUUUUGAGAACAAGGGGCCUUUCAUUUCAUUGUGCAUUGGCUGCACCGAUUGUGUAGCUAGUCGUACUGAAAAUUUAGAGUUGUGUGAACUAGUUACUAGGGGCCCAUGGUCCCAUGUUACUUAUUUUUGUUAUCUGUUUGACCCCACAGGUAUUUGUGUUUGGGGUUGUGACACAUAGGAUGCACCUUGAAAUGAACUGUGAAAUGUGCAGGAAGGGUCCCUGAUGAUCCGUUUACUGUCUGUGAAACCCCAGAAGUUAGGUCAUCCCAUUUCUCCUGGGCAACGGGGUCUCUAUAUUUCCAGCAAUCAUUCUGAUUUUCCAUAUGAUCGUUCGCAUGUGAGUCAUAAAGCACUGAAAUGAAUCCUUGAUUCUUGCCAUUUUUCAGCUAUUAAUUAAUGCUAUGGGCCAUCUGAUCAUAAACCUGUUCUCCUUUUUUUUGGAGUAAUUGGUAACCUGGUGGUCCCCGUGUGAGUUUAAAAUCAUUAUUUUGACUUCACUGAUUACUGACUUUUAUUAUUUAGGAGCUAAGAACUAGCAAGUAAUGGAACAUGCUGUGAACUAUUUUUCCUCUUGCUAAGAAAAUAUGUUGGUUGCUGGCGAGGGACUUGUAUUCAAAGGAAUCCUGUAAGAGCUGAACUGGCUUUGACUCCAUGUACUAAGAGUAGUAUUUACACUGUGGGGCUUCUUGGGUUUGGUUGCACAGCAAGCUGUAUUACUUUCCACUUGCAAGUUGAAAGGGUCUUGAUAUUAAUUCAACAAAGGGAGAAGUUAGAAAAGCUUAAAGUCUUAAUGACUCAUUGUUACGGGAGAGAAUAUCAGUCUGACCACUUUUAAAUGAAAAUCAUUUUAUUGCUUUCAAUCACAAAGAACAUUUCUAACCAAAUGCUAAAAAUAAAAAUGUAGGUACUGCCAAAGAGAAGCCCUACUGGGCCUAGUCAAGGAAUAAAAAAGUUUCAUUUAUAAUUAAAAUUGUUCCUCAGAGGCAAAUUAACACAUAUGUUCUUAACCUAAUUUCUGUCUCUGUGUGUGCACACGCGCGUGCAGGUUAAACAACUACUGUAUUUGCUUACAGUAUUGAUUUGCAUAAGGAACCCUCUUUCUUAAUAAGCAAAGGCAAAAUCCAUUCAGACUCAAGAGCUCGUGUUCUAAGACAGUGAUGUCAGAACAGGCCCAAUAAAUAACAUCUUCCUUCCCCAUCUGGGUUUUGAACCAACUGCGAAACGAGAUACAGAAAUAAGGUAGGUGAAAAACAAAAUAUUACCCUUAUAGUGGCAAAGGUGAUUACUGUGAAAUGUGGCUUAAGGAUGAGAGCCAAAUGGACCUCUCAAUAGUAAACAUCCAGAGGUAGCCAAUUUCUCCAUUCAGCAUAGAUAGCUGGAUGGGGCAGACCUCUACACAAUGAGAACUAGAUGCUGUGGUUAUAAAGGAGAGUGAAAGUCCCAGAAAGUGGGAACACAGUUCUGUUGAGAUAUGUAGAGAGUGGAAAGGAAACAGCAGAUAGAACAGAAGAGAAAGGAAGAUGGGCUAAGGUUAGAAUUUAAGCUCUAUCAUUUAUUGCUGGGUUACCUUGAGCUUAAUCUCUCUGGCUAUUCGUUUCCUCAUUUUAAAAAAGUAAUAUCUUCUUUACACAUUUAUUGUGAAGAUUGGCCAAGUAUACACACAGACCUCGUGAGUGCCAGGACUAAAGAAGACAUUCAAGAAGUAUUAGUGAUUGUUACAGAGUUGGAGGGUGUGAUGAAAUAGAUACAUCAUUCAAAAUUAACGUGAUAAAGGUAUACUAGAGAAAGGUGACUUAAAGGCUACAUUGGAAGAAGAAAUGAAUUCAUGUCUUUGUAUCUCUGUGUCUGAGUAACUUCACAGGUGUCAUCCUCAAGAAGUGGGUCCAUUUAUCUACUGUUAAGAAUGUUUUUUGUGCAGAGCUAGGAGGAGUGGGAGGUAGGUAGAAGAAUUUCAGAUCUUUCUUAAGGGAGACAUCAUUAUUAACAUGAAGCUGGGUUUUGUCAGAUUGGCAAGGACCAAUAAGACUAAUGUAACUGGAUCAUGUACAUAUGGUUCAUUGUCCUAGUUUGAUGAGUUAUGUGCUUUGAUUAACCAGAAUGGGUAACAAUGACAUAGUACAUAAUGAUUUGAAGUCAUGUUUGUUUGUUGGUUUGUUUGUUUUAUCUUCCAUGUAGAGUAGAUUUUGAAACCUAAACCUUGUUUAACUGAUUAUAGAAUAGUGCUUUAGUGACAUUAUAUCUUGGGACUUAGUCUCUAUCUGCUGCUAAUAACAGAGAUGUUGGUUUAAAAUUCAUGUAAAUUUGAAGUCUUCUUGGGAUAGUCCUAAGAUUUGUGGUAUAGUCCAGUUUUAUGUCUGGGUAUAGUGUGAGUAGGAAACUUUUAAUGACAGUGUUGGAUCUGUGCUGUUCUCAGUAAAGAUACUGAUUUAUGACAAUUGCAAAGAACAGAUUAAGAACAGUCUGAGAAAUAUUGAAAGAAUUUUUUAAUGGAAGGGAGACACACAUAUGUUUAUGAGUAAAACCUUAGAAGAAUUGUUUUAAAAUUUUUAAAAAACUUUUGAAAAUUCAAUCUAGAACAUUGAGACAUUGAUUUCUCCUCUUCCCUUUUCUCUUCCAAAAUGGAUUUAAGUUUCUCCCAUCCAUCAGAAAUGCCAAUAUUCUGCCCAGAACAUGGGACAAAUAGUUUAUAUUAUCCCCAGAAGGAUCCAGUUAUUUCUGAUAAUCCAGAAAUAAAAGUAGAAAUUGUGUUUUAAAGAAAUUUCCCAGGGUAACCUUAGACUGGGGCUUUGGCAUUUUGCCACAAUGGCUGAAUAAGAGAUGAUUGGUAUUGAAAAACAUAGGAAUUCAGCUUUUGAAAUAUCUCAGUGAAGCAUAAUGAUCCCCUUUACCUCCAGAUUACACUCGGGGACUUCUAGACAGUCUCACUUGGUCAGGCCAAGAUCUUGAGGUCUGGCUUCAUGUCAAUUCCUCCUUGAUCAGUUAACAUAUAGACUAAGGCAGUACAGUAUAUAGGAAAAAAAGAAUCAAUAUGCUAUAUGUAUAACUGACUCACUUUGCUAUACACCUGAAACUAACACAACAUUACAAAUCAACUAUACUCCAAUAAAAUUCUUACAAAAAGACAGCAUGGUAGAACAGGCUCGAGUCAUUCUACUGAGUAAACUCUAUUCUUAUUAUGUUCUUUAUGGCUUGAAGUGGAGUAGAAGUAUAAGAUAUUCCUUUUAUAUUUUAUAAUAUGUGAGGAGAAUAUACAUAUAUGCUUACCUUGUUCUUAAAUUUUUUAUUACAGAAAGUUUCAUAUAUAUUCUUAUAUAUACUUUUAUAUAAGAAUAUACAUAUUCUUAUAUAUAUAUAAAAGAAAAUAACAUAUAUAUAUAUAAAAGAAAAUAACUUCCUCAAUAUGUAUUUCCAAAGAUAAAGUCUUUAAAAUGCAUAACUGGCGUUCCACUUGUGGCUCAGCGGGUUAAGAACCCAACUAGUAUCCAUGAGGAUGUAGGUUAGCUCCCCGGCCUCACUUGGUGGGUUAAGGAUCCAGCAUUGCUCCAAGCUGUGGCUGUGGAGUAGGCCAGAGCUGCAGCUCUGAUUUGACCCCUAGCCUGGGAACUUCCAUAUACCACAUGUGGCUGUAAAAAGAAAAAA
rnacentral:lncRNA from 9 species